AAAAUCUCCAGACUAGAAACAUUAUUCAAAAGUGCCCACGCACCACAUCCUGAGCAACUAAACAGGAGAAACCAGAUGGGACAAACCACAGAACUAUCUCCAUAGUUUGAGGAACGUUUUGAUGAACUUUGAGCAGAAUGGAGUAUGAAACCAGCAUUUUUCGAUACCAAUAGUUUGGAUACUCCUACACCUGUGCAUCUUUUUUGACUGCUGUAUGGAAACGCACAUGAAGCUGACCUUUGAAGAGUUUUGUACCACUUGCCUCGCCUGCUCUGGAGUGUAGGACCUGAACCAAUGGCUUCAAGUUACAAGAAAGGAGAUUCUGACUAAACAUCAGGAAGAACUUUCCCAUGCCAUGGACCUUUGUGCUCAGAAUGAAAGCUUCGGUAAAGCCAAGCCCCCUCCCUGCUUGCUUAUGAAAAUGGCUACCCUGUACAAGGAAUAAUCCUCUUCAAAAGGGUUAGUCACAGGGAACUUCCGUAGACAAGAAUCUGCUCUAAAAUGCUCUUGCAAGGGCUAGAUUGGAUGCCAUGUAAACAAGCCCUCAAUUUGCACCUGUGUAAACAAACCUGAGGCCAAAAUCAAGGGGGUGGAGGUAACUACAUGUUUUCAUUUUCCCUGUUUUGUAAGGGGGAAAAGUGACAGCCUAAGUCCUACCUAGAAUGAGGAUGCACACAGUGUUAUGAAAAGGGCUUUUUACCAUUGUGGGAUUAUAUUAUUUUCAUUGAAGACAACAUGGAAUAAAGUUUCAGUUGUAAGAUGUUGAGACGAAAUCAGCUAUUAUGGAUGAAUACUUUAUUACUCCAUCUCUCUAAGUUUUAGAAGAGGAUGAUUAAUGGGCUAGUGUUUCAGGGGUUUUGCAACAGUGCUGUUGAAACUUAUAGAAUUUGUGGGCAUAAAAAACCCCACAACCGUCUAGGAUCCAAAGUGCCCGUGCCAAUUUGAUUUCAGAGGUAUUCAAACAUCAAGACAGAGUGACUUUUUAAGAUGUCUAAAGGCAACAACAGUUGGAAAAGCCUGAACGUCAUAACUGACCCUUAUCCCAGCUUUUGGCUCUGUCCUCUACACACUCACCUAUGAACUCUAUGGGUCUUACUUCUGAGUAGACAUGUGCAGGAUUGUGCUAUUUGCCUACUAGGUUAUGUGUUAUGUGGUCUUUCUGUGCAUGCUGCUUGUGAUGCCCUAUUGAUGAACUAUAAAAUAAUGAAACAGCUAGCACCAGUAAUUAUGAUAAAAUAAUUGAGAUGUAGCUAAAAAGAGAAUUAAAAUAAUGUAUAGGGGAAUACAUGAAAAAAUAUGGCGUUAAAGCAGAACUCUUAAUAGGCGAUUGUUAAGUGUGUAAGGAUAAAAUAAGUAAUCAUAAUUUAUUAGACAUUUUAGAAAUAAGCUUUCAUGUUAGCUUAGUGUAUUAAAGCAACUAGAAAUAAUUUAGUGACUGGAAGAUCUCACAUGGGUGAAGGGAAGCAACAGGGAGGAGGGGAUAGGUAACAUUUGGGAAAUAAAAUAAUAUAUGUGACAGAAAACCAGAUCCCCUGCCUAGGAUUUUAUUCUUUUUAUUUAUGCCAAAUUUCAAGGAAUGAGAUUAUUAAUUCACUUUUAUUUAUUAUCCCCUGCUUAUUUGGUGGUGAUUAUCUUUCUCCUUGUCCUGACCAUCCUCCCAAGGCUAUAUUCACAAUCUUUCAAUUUGGUUGGACUCUACACUUAACCGGCCGGAACAUUCUACCAGAGAAAAGGUUGCCGCCCAUGGGACAUCAACUGAAUGUCAACCCAGCUUUUACCUUGGGUUUUAAUAGGUUUUAUUGGUAACCAUAUUUGUAAUGUAUUUUUGUUGGUGUCUGUUUGUCUUUUUGAUGCUAUGGCCCAUCGGCUAUGCAAAUAAAGUUUGAUUUGAUAUGUGACAGAAAAGGAUAUAACAGAUUCUUAUAGCAUAGCAACAUCAUGUAACCAGAGUAGAAGUUUAAAGGAGGAAGUGAAUGUAUUUUUAUUAUUGUAAUUAUUACCAUUAUUGGUAGAAGGCAAUGUUAAUUUAGACUUUUUCAUUUUGUUGUUUGUAUAUGGUGUAUUUUUCUUAAAAUAAUAAUAAUUAUAAUUAAAACAACAUGUGGAAUUCAGCAUCACGUUAAUACAAUUGUUCUGUCAGCGCAAGCAUUUCUAUUUGCCCGAUGGAACAAUCUCCCCUUCCUCACACACACUCCCGAGUGGAUUUGGGGGAGGAAGUGGUCAAACUCCAGUGCAGUAGUGGGAGCCCUUGAGCUGGCUUCCCACUAGCUGGCUAGUGCUAAUAAAUUUAUACCUUUCCAAAAUAAGUUUCUAUCUCCCUUUUAUAAUAUAAAUAUUAGUUGUUCUUCAAGUCUUUGGGUGUGUUGCUAUAGAGAAAACCCUAAUUCAUAUAUCAUUUGCAAGUUCUAUUAUCCAGUGAUGUGCAUGAUAAGAAACAGAACAUGCAUUUUUGGAACUUACAUCUUGAU